AGACUAGGAUGUGGCACGCACAAUUAUGCUAGCAGGGUGGAGUGCUAUAAAUGCAAGUCGCCUAGGGAUUUUUGAGAAGCAAUGUGAGGAAGCAGAGCACAGUUUAGGCAUUGUUAAAUAAAUGUCUCUUCUUUUCAUUUAGAGUGUCUAAAAGAGAAUUUCACAUUGUUGUAUCACAAGAUCACCAGAAUAAUUACAUCUCUUUGCAAACCA